GGUCGGCGGCGGACGGGCGCCUCGCCAACCCGGUCAGGUCCGGAAGGAAGCAGCCGUAACGAGAUUUUCGCCCGGGUCGCUUAACGCCGGCCUUC
rnacentral:SRP_RNA from 1 species